rnacentral:rRNA from 1 species
UACGGGGGGAGCAAGCGUUGUUCGGAUUUACUGGGCGUAAAGGGCGCGUAGGCGGUCAGCACAAGUCAGUUGUGAAAUCUCCGGGCUUAACUCGGAAAGGUCAACUGAUACUGUGCGACUAGAGUGCAGAAGGGGCAACUGGAAUUCUCGGUGUAGCGGUGAAAUGCGUAGAUAUCGAGAGGAACACCUGCGGCGAAGGCGGCGCUCUGGGCCGGUACUGACACUGAGGAGCGAAAGCGUGGGGAUCAAACAGG